CCCUAUAAUUGUUUUAUUAUUAUUAUAAUUAUUAUUUUAAAAUUUUCCACAAAGCUUCGCACUUCACUAGAAUUGGCACCGACUGGCCAUCGUGCUUUCACCAACAUCACCAAGCACUCCAAGACAAUGAAAUGCAUUAACGGAAGGAAAAACGACAUUGACAAUAUCAAGUUUUCUAUGCAAAAAGAUAAAUUCAAAAAACAAACCAUCAAAUCCACCAACGAUUUCUAUCAUGAUUAAUAACAUUCUCAGAAACUAACUCAAUGCUCAUCAUGAUUAAUCAGUGAAAUUAGGAACUGCAGCAUGUGGUUGGCAAGCCUUAGCAUCUGGGUGUGCCUCCACAGCAGGAUGUGGUUCAAUAGGAUUGCUAAGCAACUCCUCUGGCAGCUCCUUAAUUCCCUUCAAGUAAAAUGUAUAGAAAAGCUUAAACGGAAAAACUAUCUGACGGAGCUUAACUUGACCGGUAACCCCUUCGAAAAUGCCCGUGCCACCGGUCACCGCCAGGUACGUAUCCUCAUACGUCAGGUACGAUCCCUGCACCGCUAUCUGCCCGUACUCCCCGAAGUAGAAGCUGUAGAUGGCUUCGUACCGGUCACCUUUCAUCUCCGGUUUGUUUUGGAUCAAUACACAUAUUCCUGCUGUUAUACCUAUACGUUUCUUCAGGUCUCCGGUGUAAAGUUUGUUGCUAAAAGGCACCAGAUCACCAAGAGAAUUAACCUCUUUCUGGCUCAAGCGGAGGUAAGCAGGACUCCCACGAUCUCUCUCAUUGAUCUCAUACACAUACAGCUCUUGGACCUUGGCGAGUCUUGCAUCAUCAGAUGAGGCCGCUUGGCUUCUGCAGAGGAAAGAUCUCUUGGGAACAGAGAAGUGGUUAAAGCUUGAAGUCUUUGAAAGGUGAGUGAGAGAUGGGGUUGCGAUCUUGAAAGGCAAGACUACUGAUUUGGUGGGCACAGUGGCAGCAGAGUUAGAUCUUGAAGGGCUGGUCACCUUCACAGAAGAGGUGGUACUGAGAGAAGAAGUUGAGCAAGCCAUUGAUCCUGAUGAUGAUAGUUUUUAGAUUCUAUAAUUCUUAGUGUUUGGCAG
rnacentral:misc_RNA from 1 species